AGUCGUCUCUUCUCAAAUUUCUAAUUAUUGUUGUUGAUAACUUUUAGAGCAGGUCCUUAUAAUGUAGCAUAUACAGAUAAUUCUAGAAUUAACAACCAUCACUUAACAACUGCUGUGUUCACUUAAAAACCAUGGAUUCGCUUAUCAGCUAUUGUGAUAUAUCCUAACAAUGAUGACAAAAAAUGGUAAAAUCAAAUCUGGUCACUUGACUUAUGACCGCAAUGACUUAAAACAAGAAAUUUACUCCCAAUUGUGGUCAUAUGUUGAGGACUACUUGUAACUACAAAUCUAAAAGUAAUGAAUUUUAUUGUUUAACAGGAUCACAUAACAUUAACUAUCUCAGGAUUUUAAGGUUUGGGGUUUGGAGAAAUAAAAUAAUCCUUAUAGCGUAUUUAGCUGGAAGCUAGGAGGUUAAGAAAAUUGUUUUAUGGUGGCAGGGCUAUCAGCUCAAUGAAUUGCCCUGUGCCCAAUUUUAUGAUGGACCAAGCAGCAGAAUCUCAAAUUGCAAUGAUAAUAAUUAGUCUACAAAAUGUUGGUCUUAUAAAUGGUAUCAUAAUUCAUAUAGUUUUUAUUCUCAUAAUGGACAAAAUAAAGGGGGUGGCUAAAUUAUUAAAUUCUACAAGAUCCCUUUCCUUAAUCUUGUUUCUUCAGCAGUUCUGGGUGCAACAAGACAAGAUGGUAGAGCUCCAUUUUUUAUAUUCUGUUUAAAGCAACUUCAGGAAAUGCAUUGGGAGCACAAUACUGAGAAAGAUGAAAAAUCCUUGAUUCUGAUCUGAGCCAGUUGAUCUUGUCUGAAGAUUUUGUGGUCUUUGGACCUGCCUAAAAGCUAUUAAAAAGAGUCACCCUAGAAUUCUUUCUGAAUAAUGGAUCACAUUGCUGGAUACUUUCCUGAAGAUACUGAACUGAAUUUUCCUAGCAAGGAGUAUGAACUCCUCUUUCAACUGACAUAUUGACUUAAUAUGAUUUGCUUCAGUAGAGAUGGCGGAAGAUGUAAUGUGGAGUCAUUCAUCAAUUACACAGGACAAGGAUAUAAUCUUGAAGACUGUUUCUUUUUAUCUAAAGGCUGACAGUAGUUUUGAGACUACAUUGUCAUUUAAGAGCUUACAUAAUUUUAGGUUUAUAUUGGAAUAAAGAUCUGUGAUAUUGCCCAAGGUUUUGUGGAGCUCACUUUUUUUUAACCUUGAUUCUCAUUCUACUACUUGCUUGUUGGCAUCUAUAGUUUUCCAACUGCUUCAAGUCAAUUCCAAUAUUCUGCAUUGAUUGAAUGUAUAUUCACUUGGUGUAGGACUGCUUGUGACUGAGUGUAGUAUAUGUGUACUUUAAUGUUGUUUUAUGAAAACUGAAUUUAAUGGCUUCCUAUAAAGGAGAAGUGAUUGAAUCUAUUUCUGUUACGAGCCCUUUUAUGUUCUGUCCUAGGAAGCAAAGCACCUAACAGUGGAACUGAAGAUAAUUUGAUGUGUCCAGUGACAAAUAGCAGGGGAAUGACUUCAUCCUGGGAGUGCUAUGACGAUUGUGUUCGUCACAUUGACACAAAUUGUCACAUAAAGGCGCAAUGUGAGAAAAAUAUUUUGUUACUCUGUUAGUAAUUGAUGGUUGUAGAAUCUGUUGUGUUAAAUCACUCAUUCUUAAAACACUUCAAAGUGUUUUAAUACUUAAUUCCCUUUUUACCUUCCACCCAAAAUAAGAUAUUUAGGACACUCAUAUUUAUGUUGUGAUAUGUGAUAUGGAUAAAAGAUGAAAAGGGAUACUUCAAAGGACUUAAAUUUACAGAGUACCUUCUUUUAAAUAUGUAUGUAUUUUCAUGCUUGUAUCAUUCUGACACAAUAUAAAUUAUUCACAGUAAUAACUUAUCACAAUAACACACAGAGGAGUUUGCAGAUUGCAGUUACUGAACAUGCACUUACACAUGAGUGUUUGAUAUAUCUUAUGAAAGAAAGCAUACCCGUGAAGAAUUUAUGAGAAAGAAUGAAAUAUUCAAUUAUUUUCUGUUUGUUUUCUGGAUCUAAAAUAGUUCCUUCUUCUUUAAAGACUGCCCUGAAAAGAAAGACUAAUUUAGCAGAGGGAUUUAUUCUUUAAGAAAACAAUAAAAAGUUGAACUCAGAAACUUCUUGAAUAAAGAAGAGUAGAGAUUAAUCUAGGGUUCCUGAUUAAUUCAAAGAUUGGCAGAGGAAUUAAAAAUUUUGUCCAAUAAAGAAACAAACCUGGAAAAUAGAACUAAAGAUGCAAGAGAGCAGGAUGGGGAGAAAAAUUUCCAGAAAUAAAUUUGCAGUUGCAGUUAGUCCUGAUUUAACAGCAGUAAUGGGGACUGGAAUUUAAUAAGAGCCUUGGUGGUGCAGUGGACUAAAGUGCUGUUAAGUAGCACUUAGCUGCCAGCUGCCUGCAAUUACUGCAAGUUCAAAUCUCACCAGGCUCAAGGUUGACUCAGCCUUCCAUCCUUCCGAGGUAGGUAAAAUGAGGACCCGGAUUGUGAGGGCAAUAAGCUGACUUUGUAUAAAAAAAAACACCGUUUGGGGGGAGGGGGGGCGAAAGUCCUACUAAGCAGGUAUAUACAAAAGUAUGAAGGCUAUUGCUUAGCACAUUGUAAGCCGCCCUGAGUCUCCGGAGAAGGGCGGCAUAUAAAUCAAACCAAUAAAUAAAUAAAUAAACAAAUAAACAAAUAAAUAAAUUUCCACUGCUAAGCAAUGCACUUAUAAUAUGUGACAUCAUAAGACUGCAUUGCUUAGUGAUGGCAAUUCUGACCGUCCCUAUUGCUAUUGUUAAAUGAGGAUCAUGGGUGGUGAAGUGACAAGGCUGAGUGGCUCACAAGCUGGCCAGAAGGUGGUUGGUGUGGUGCAUUGCAAGCAUGGUCAUGUAGGGCGUGGCUACUGCCAAGUGUGGAAAACCCAGGUGAUUGCCGUGGCACAACAGAAGUGUGUGUGUGUGUGGGGGGAACUCUUGCCUGAGACAGGACUGUGCACACUUGGCUCAUACUUUGUAGCUGGGCUCUGCAGGAGAAAAAGUAGUGAGAGUGGUACUGACUUACAGGAGUGACUUAUGACCAUUGACUUUGCUUGUAGAAGCCGGCAGGGAAGAUUGCAACUGUUUGUGUGAGCCAGUUGUUAGCAGCCCAAAUUGUAAUCACAUGAUGGAGAGAGGUCAACCAGAACUUUGGGGACCAGUCAUAAGUACCAUUUGUUCAGCACCAUCGUAACUUUGAAUGGUUGCUGAAUGAGUAGUUGUUAAUUGAAGCAACAAAAAAGUCACUGUGGAGAACUGCAAUGCAUUGACACCAGAGGCAUUAAAUGGAAAGAAAUGGAAACUUCUGCAGUGAAGAGUGUUGGUAUAACUGAAUAAACUUCUCCUCUAUCAUAUUUUAUUUGCUAUUUGUUUGGGGAGGAAUUUUGAAGCAACUUCUGAAAACCUCUGGUCUUCUCUUGCAAAUGACAUUUUUAAUAUACUGAUUCUAUGGGGCAGAAUAAUGGGACAGAUUAGCAUGACAGAAACACCACCUUUUCUUGAUAUGUAUCAAUAUCAGUAUAUGUACAAAAGUGAGGAACUUAAUUAUGCUGCCAGGAUUUUCAUCAUGGAUAGGUGUGGACUUCAACUCCCAGAAUUCCCCAGCCAGUAUGGCCUUCAGAAUCAGAAUCAGAAUCAGAAUAGAACUGUAAGGGACCUUGGAGGUCUUCUAAUCCAGCCUCCUGCUCAAUCAGGAGAUCCUCUACCAUUUCAGACAAGUGACUGUCCAGUCUCUUCUUCUUUUUUUUUUUUUAAAUUUGAUUUAUAUGCCACCCUUCUCCGGAGACUCAGGGCGGCUUACAGUGCAUUAAGCAAUAGUCUUCAUCCUUUUGUAUAUUUUAUACAAAGUCAGCUUAUUGCCCCCACAACUGGGUCCUCACUUUACCUACCUUAGAAAGGAUGGAAGGAUGAGUCAACCUUGAGCCUGGCAAGAUUCGAUCUUACUUUAAUUGCAGACAGCUGGUGUUAAAUUACAGUGCUUCUGUCUGUUGAGCUAAACCAGGCUUCUUAAAAACCUACAGUGAAGUAUCCACAACGGGGGUGUCAAACUCACAAGGUGUUGUCACGUGAUUAUCACAAUUCCCCUCCCUUUGUUAAACCAGGAGAGAGUGUGGCCAGCACAUGAUGUAUCCAUCCCACAGCCAUGAGUUUGACACCCCUGAUCUACAACAUCUGAAGGCAAGCUGUUCCACUGGUUAAUUGUCCUCACUGUUAGGAAGUUUCUCCUCAAUUCCAGGUUGCUUCUCUCUUUGAUUAGUUUCCAUUCAUCGUUUCUUGUCCUGGCCUCUGGCAUUUUGGGAAAUAAAUUGACCCCCUCCUCUUUGUGGCAGCCUCUCAAAUACAGGAAUAGUGCUAUCAUGUCCCCCUAGUCCUUCUUUUCUCUAGACUAGCCAAACCCAAAUCCUGCAACUGUUCAUAUGUUUUUGUCUCCAGGCCUUUAAUCAUCUUAGUUGUUCUUUGCACUUUUUCCAAAGUCUCAACAUCUUUUUGGUAACGUGGUAACCAAACCUGGGUGUAAUAUUCUAGGUGUAGUCUUACUAAGGCUUUAUAAAGCGGUACUAAUACUGCUUUAUAAGUUGAAAUUUAGUUAUGAGUUGAAAUCCAGAUCUCUUAAAGUUGUGAAAUUUGAAAAACAGUGCCUUAGACUGUAAGGUAAAGUUAAUGACAUAUUUGAAUGCUAUUUUACACCAGCCUAGUAGAACUGUAGGGGGCUCUCUGAAGGUGAGAAGUGGAGAGACUUCUGAAGAAUUGAAGAAGCUUUUUAGAUGAGAAGCGAAAACUUUUCAAAGAAAAAAAACCAAGAAAAUCCAGUUGCCUUUUGGAAAAAUCUCCUUUGGGUGAACUUAUACACUAGUUUACUCUCUGUCAAAUAUUUUUUACUUGGUAUUGGUGUAUAGAUUAACUUUUUCCAACCAGCUGACAAUUAUGUUAUAACUCAGAUUUGCUGAUAUAUUUUAGUUAGAGCCUUUACAUAUUCUUCUUCUGUUGCUUGCCAUAUUUCUGCAGAAAUUCUAUCUAUUCCUGUAGCUUUUUGACUUGGCACUAACUGGAGUGCUGAUCUAACUUUAUAUUUUAGUACCAGAGAUUCUUGUAAAAAGGGAAUAUCUUUUAAGGUAGCUUAGAUAUUAAUACUUCUGCCAUACAGAAUUUCAGCAUAUGCCUUCCAUCUUUCUUAGAUACUCUUUAAUCAAUUAUUAUCUGUCUACUGCUGUUCUUUUACAUAUCAAUUCAAAAUUGGAGCCUCUUUCUGAGUUCAGAGAUCUUUGGAAGGCUUUCCUUGUUUUUUCCUGUCUCUUUUAAUUUUUGAUGCCUUUACAGAUGUCAUUGUAAUUUCUAACAGUUCUCUGAAAUUCUUUGUUAAGUUCCUUUCCUAGAUCUUUGUCUUUCUUGGCCUUGGGUUUCUCUUCUAGGCAAUUUCCAUCAUUUAUUCUUGGUCUUUGGCAGUCUCUUUUCUAAUUCUUCAUUAACAACUUCUUUGAUUUCUUUCUGGUUUUCUUCUAGUUCUUGAUCAAUGAGGUUCAGGAAUUCCAAGUGAUUCUUGGUAUUUUUCUUGAAAAUGGUGGGUAUAAGAUCAAGAAUAUAUCAUGCCCAAUUCUAACCAUGUAUCAUUCUAAGCCUCAUCAAAUGAAAAAGUGUAUAAUAUAAAAAUCAUCAGAUAUGAACUAAAGAAGCAAGUUUACUAGAAUAAGAAUACCAAAAAGAAAAAAGCCAAUAUGAUUUCAAAUGUAAAAGCAAUAUGUUAGCCUGCUGCACUUAUAUAACUAAAAAAGAAAAUGUGACUACUCCCUAAAAUGUUAUUUUUUAUAUGUUAAUACAGUCAGAGAUUAAUUUUUAAGGAAGACUAAAGGAACAUACAUUGAUGUAAUAAAUUUUAAAUUAGGCCAAGUAAUUUGUAUUACUUCAUGUUCUAUAUAUCUAUACAACUUUUAAUAAAAUUCAUUUUUUAUGAA